CAUUUGUGUGCAUGGGAUCCAAGUUUUCCAACAUCACUUUCAACCGUCUUUUGAAACACUAUAACUUUUGCAAUGUUUGCCAUUUUGCCCUGCAACCUAGCGCAUCGCAUUUGCAUUGUUUGUAAAUGCCUACAACAACCAUACCGUCAGCCAGACCUGGUGUUGAUGUGAUGGGUGGAGACGGAAGGAAGGGCCAAGUGAAGGGAUCGGACACUGGACUGCAUAAAUGUCUGUUACAAUGUUCUUUAAUUGAAGUUGAAAUGAAGAAGCUGACGUAAAAGGAAGGAAAUGAAUAUAUGACCAAGAGUUUGCUCUUCUGGAAAUUAAUAAAUGGUUUCAUUAGUAUCAAAAAGUUAAGACUGAUUUGGAACUCAGAGAGCUGCAAGUCCUAUUUUAUUUAUUUGACAGAGAUCACAACUAGGCAGAGAUGCAGACAGAGAGAUAGAGGGAAGCAGGCUCCCUGCUGAGCAGAGAGCCCGGUGCAGGGCUCGAUUCCAGGACCCUGAGACCAUGACCUGAGCGGAAGGCAGAAGCUUUAACCCACUGAGCCACCCAGGCACUCCUCUAUUAUGCUUCUUGAAGACACGAAGACGACAGCCAGAUGAAGCAACUGUUCUGACUGAAUUUAUUAUUCCAUUUAGGCUAAACAAUUGGUUUUAUUUUCAUCUAAGUGACAGUUGGCUACUUGCUUUUACAUCACAUUUCACACAAAGCAUUUUUCCUUUAUGGGGAUUUAGUACUCCCAGGUGUGUCUGGUCUUCACUCUGAAAAGGAUAGGAAAAAGCAAAAGAAACAAAAAGCCCCCAGCAGAUACAGGACUUGGAACACGUUCUUUGCUGUUUGUGCAAUGAUGCCCUUCGAAUAGUUUGAAUUUCAUGUGUAUCCUCCAGAGUUAGGUACUUUAAUCUCAUACUUAUUUGGAGCAUAGGUCUUGGAAAUUUCUUUUUCGUAAAGGAGGGGAAAAAAAAAAAACCUAGAAGAAGGCUAUACAUCCAUGGAAUUUGAGAAAGAAAUGAAAACAGCUUCAUUUAAGUUUAUAUCUGCCAAAAUUAACAAUCUAAAAUUCCUUUUGUAAGAACACUUUCUAGAGAUUAUGCUGAGUGAAAUAAAUCAAGCAGAGAGAGUCCAUUAUCAUAUGGUUUCACUUAUUUGUGGAGCAUAACAAAUAGCAUUGAGGACAAGGGGAGAUGGAGAGGAGAAGGGAGUUGAGGGAAAUUGGAAGGGGAGGUGAACCAUGAGAGACUAUGGACUCUGAAAAACAAUCUGAGGGUUUUGAAGGGGCGGGGGGUGGGAG
rnacentral:lncRNA from 1 species